rnacentral:rRNA from 1 species
UGAGGAAUAUUGGUCAAUGGGCGAGAGCCUGAACCAGCCAAGUAGCGUGCAGGAUGACGGCCCUAUGGGUUGUAAACUGCUUUUAUAUGGGAAUAAAGUGAGGGACGUGUCCCUUAUUGCAUGUACCAUACGAAUAAGGACCGGCUAAUUCCGUGCCAGCAGCCGCGGUAAUACGGAAGGUCCAGGCGUUAUCCGGAUUUAAUGGGUUUAAAGGGAGCGUAGGCUGUUUGUUAAGCGUGUUGUGAAAUGUAGGAGCUCAACUUUUAGAUUGCAGCGCGAACUGGCAGACUUGAGUGCGCACAACGUAGGCGGAAUUCAUGGUGUAGCGGUGAAAUGCUUAGAUAUCAUGACGAACUCCGAUUGCGAAGGCAGCUUACGGGAGCGCAACUGACGCUAAAGCUCGAAGGUGCGGGUAUCGAACAGG